UGUUUGUCAUCACGCCUAGUAAAAACGAAAUUGCCUUUAGAAAGUGGGGAAUUACCAGAAACAGUUCAGUUGCAACAGGAAGAAUUUAAACAGGAAAUCUUUGUAGCUCACCCACCUCCUUAGCGAGUUUAUCAGAAGAACAAAUUGUAAGGAAACAAUGGAUAACAUUCCUUGCGAAGAAUGGAGCUGCCAGGGAGACUGAUAGCUUUAGAAGAGCAUGCAUAUGUGGGGUCACACUCCUUUAAGCUAUAGAAGAGGUGGAAAAUUCUUGAUAAAGUUCGGAGUGCAGUAUUGUGAUCAGUUGUAAAUCGGGUUACUUGUUUUCUGGUCAUUCUGUUUGCCAAUGCUCGAGUCUGUAUUUCCAUUUCGAACCGAACCCAAUGAAAGACUUGACCUUUAUGGACCAAUGUGCAAAGGCCGAAGGAAGUAGCUUCUAUGGUUCUAAUUUUUGUAUUAAAACUCAAAUAAAC